rnacentral:lncRNA from 1 species
CCAAUUUAAUUUAUGAAGAUGCUCGACAACAACGAUAGUGAUUUGCCUAUUGAAACAUCUGCUGUAGCGAAAAAAUUACGUUUGUAAGUAUUAAUAUUUUUAAAAUAUUUUUUGUAUUUCUUAUUCCACCAUAUAUAUAUAUAUAUAUAUAUAUAUAUAUAUAUAUAUAUGAGAUAUUGUUCAUACUUACGCAGUUCGAAGAUUGGAGAAGGACCGAGCAAAGUUAACACCCGCAAGAAAUCAAGUAGAACCGAUAGGCCAUGAUCUAGGAACUGUUUUAUCAAUUAUAUUUGCAUUAUAAAAGACAUUAUAUCGUAUUAGAUAAUCUAUAUUAUAUAUUUAGUUAUCUUACAUAAUGUGAAUGUUAUAUAUAUCUGUAUGUUUCGUAAUAAAUAAAUAUAAUAAAAGUCAUAUUAUUAGCU